rnacentral:rRNA from 1 species
UACGGAGGGAGCUAGCGUUGUUCGGAUUUACUGGGCGUAAAGCGCGCGUAGGCGGCUCAUUAAGUCAGAGGUGAAAGCCCGGGGCUCAACCCCGGAACAGCCUUUGAAACUGGCGAGCUAGAAUCUUGGAGAGGCGAGUGGAAUUCCGAGUGUAGAGGUGAAAUUCGUAGAUAUUCGGAAGAACACCAGUGGCGAAGGCGACUCGCUGGCCAAGUAUUGACGCUGAGGUGCGAAAGCGUGGGGAGCAAACAGG